UACGUAGGGUGCGAGCGUUGUCCGGAAUCAUUGGGCGUAAAGCGCGCGUAGGCGGCCCUGUAAGUCCGCUGUGAAAGUCAAAGGCUCAACCUUUGAAAGCCGGUGGAUACUGCAGGGCUAGAGUCCGGAAGAGGCGAGUGGAACUCCUGGUGUAGCGGUGGAAUGCGCAGAUAUCAGGAAGAACACCAACGGCGAAGGCAGCUCGCUGGGACGGUACUGACGCUGAGGUGCGAAAGCGUGGGGAGCGAACAGG
rnacentral:rRNA from 1 species